rnacentral:lncRNA from 1 species
AUGUUACCGCAAUUUAUCUAUAGGAUGGUGGAUGAAGAGCGAGUCGAGAGCUUAUGGGUAAGGAUUAAAGGGCAGGCUAGCAUGGGUGACACUGUUGUGGGUGUUUACUACAGGCCACCUGAUCAGGAAGAGGAAGUCGAUGAGGCCUUCUACAGACAGCUGGAAGUAGCCUCACGAUCCCAGGCCCUGGUUCUCAUGGGGGACUUCAACCACCCCGAUAUCUGCUGGAAAGACAACACAGCUAGGCACAAACAGUCCUGGAGGUUCCUGCAGAGCAUUGGUGACAACUUCUUGACACAGGUGGUGGAGGAACCAACAAGGAGAGGUGUGCUGCUGGACCUCGUACUAACAAACAAAGAAGGACUGGUGGAAGAUGUGAAGGUCGGGGGCUGCCUUGGCUGCAGUGACCACGAGAUGGUGAAGUUCAGGAUCCUGCGAGGAGGCAGCAGGGCACUGAGUAGGAUCACAACCCUGGACUUCAGGAGAGCAAACUUUGGCCUCUUCAGGGACCUACUUGGAGGAAUCCCAUGGGUUAGGGCCCUAGAAGGAAGGGGCGUUCAAGAGAGCUGGUUAAUAUUCAAACAUCACUUCCUCCAGGCUCAAGAGCAGUGCAUCCCUAUGAGUAGGAAGUCAAGCAAAGGAGGCAGGAGACCUGCAUGGAUGAGCAAGGAGCUCCUGGCAAAACUCAAGCAGAAGAAGGAAGUCUACAGAAAGUGGAAAGGGGGAGAGGCCACUUGGGAGGAAUAUAGGAACAUUGUCAGAGUAUGCAGGGAUGUGACGAGGAAGGCUAAGGCCCGUUUGGAAUUAAAUCUGGCGAGAGAUGUCAAGGACAGCAAGAAGGGCUUCUUCAAAUACAUCAGUAGCAAGAGGAAGACUAGGGAAAAUGUGGGCCCUUUGCUGAAUGGGGUGGGUGCCCUGGUGACAAAGGAUGCAGAGAAGGCAGAGUUACUGAAUGCCUUCUUUGCUUCAGUCCAGUCCUUUGCUUUGCUGCUCAGACCAGCCCUCAGGAACCCCAGACCCUGGAGGCAAGAGAGAAAGUCUGGAGAAAGGAAGACUUUCCCUUGGUCGAGGAGGAUCGGGUUAGAGAUCAUUUAA